UGAGUGAACACUGCAGCAACAAUAUCAUUAAUUACCAAUAACCAAUUCACAUAAAUAGCUGAAUUUACCACAAUCUUGUGCUGUUCCAUUCAACCAUUACCAAAAAAAAAAAAAGAAGCAAUAAUAACCAUUAUGCACCUCUAUUGAAUCACCUGACUACUUAAGCCCCGACACGAACACAAUAAAGGAAGCUAGGCAAGUCCCUAAUGUUUACUUCACCAGAUGAACACUAUACCUGAUAUCAGUGAACUACCUAAAACUGCAACAACAAUAACAACUGCUGAAGUGCUGAUUCAAAUACCAAAUACACUUUGGUGCUUACUUGAUGCAGAGCUGCAUUUUUCAGUUUUAAUGUUUCCUA
rnacentral:misc_RNA from 1 species